CCUACGGGCGGCAGCAGUGAGGAAUAUUGGUCAAUGGACGCAAGUCUGAACCAGCCAAGCCGCGUGCAGGAAGACGGCUCUAUGAGUUGUAAACUGCUUUUGUACGAGGGUAAACGCAGAUACGCGUAUCUGUCUGAAAGUAUCUUACGAAUAAGGAUCGGCUAACUCCGUGCCAGCAGCCGCGGUAAUACGGAGGAUUCGAGCGUUAUCCGGAUUUAUUGGGUUUAAGGGGUGCGUAGGCGGUCGGUUAAGUUAGAGGUGAAAUCCCGAGGCUCAACUUCGAAAUUGCCUUUGAUACUGGUCGGCUAGAGAGUAGUAGCGGUAGGCGGAAUGCAUGGUGUAGCGGUGAAAUGCUUAGAGAUCAUACAGAACACCGAUUGCGAAGGCAGCUUACCAAGCUAUUUCUGACGCUGAUGCACGAAAGCGUGGGGAGCAAACAGGAUUAGAUACCCGUGUAGUC
rnacentral:rRNA from 1 species